CGAUCUGAAAUCACCAGCCUGGCAAUGUUUUUGCAUAUCCAAAAACCAUUUGAUAUCCAAGUCUUUGAUAAUGUAAAAAAGUAGCUGUGUUUCUCUUA